ACUGUGAAGUCACAAGAGGCCCUGAGCUCUGUGGGCCCCAGGUGCCCCGGGAAAACUUGGGGGAGAAUGGGCAUCCCACCCCAGCACUUUCUAGGAAGAAGGGCAGCAUUUUGAAGGGCUGGAAGUAGAGGAAGGAGGUUGCGGGUAGAAGACUCCAUACUUUCUGUGACGCCUAUUCCUUAGGAAUCAAGGCUAUCUGUAAUCACAGGGCUAUUUGAAAAAGAGAAGAAAAGGUGUCUUGAAAUUCAACCAACAUGUUUCAAUUAUUUGCUCCUAAGAACAACAGAAGUUUCAACAUUCUGCCAACAGAGUAACUCCUGGAAGAUUGGCACAGAAGAAGGCACAAGGUAAAUACCCAUCUCUGUACACCCCGUGCUACCAUGUCAUGUGCUGCUCCAGGCAACUCCAAUGGAUUGGCCACCCUGGCCAGUGAUAACACAUAAAAAUUCCACUCAGUAUUGGGACCAAUAGAUAAUGAACACAGUCAGUGGAAUUCCUUCGCAGGCUUCUUCAAGAUAUUCUGCAAGACUGAUUUCCCUUCUUCUUGCCAAGAUUUUUUCCUCCUUCUUCUAGGAAGUCAGUGAUAAAAAUAUUUAAGCAGCUUUGUCUGCCUUAGACCUUCCAACUAAAAGUACAGCAAGUGGAAUGGAAUGCUAAUAUGAGGAUCCAAAUUUUCAGGGAAGGAGGAGAGCCUUUAUAUAACCAAAGAUAUUUUUGGACCAUGAAUUCAGAAAUUCUCGGAGCCACCCAUCAGUGCCUGAGCUUCAGUGAGUCCAUAUCCCAUGUCACCCACGGCAAAGGAGACUCUAAGACUUCUGAAGAGUUUCUUGCUUCUUUCCUGUGGGGCAGUGACUCCACUUCCCAGCAGUAAUGGAAUAUCCUGAAUUAGCUACAUUAAUGUUAGAACCAUUUGGACCUCACCCAGGACUUCAACUACAUUAUGAACCCAAAUUUGGCAACUGUCUGCAUCUGAACAACAGAAGUUUCAACAUUCUGCCAACAGAGUAACUCCUGGACGAUUGGCACAGAAGAAGGCACAAGGCAAAUACCCAUCUCUGUACACCCUGUGCUACUGUGUCAUGUGCUGCUCCAGGCAACUCCAAUGGAUUGGCCACCCUGGCCAAUGUGCCCUCCAAACACCAGCACUGAGUAGAAAGAGGCUCUGAUUCAUGAAAUGUGAAUUUAUGACAGUUGCCACUCUUAAAAAAAAAAACAAACAGACAGAACUUGAGCAAUACAUGACUGAUGCAUUCUCAGCCUGCUUCCUGUGUUCCAUCUGUCUUUCUGCCAGUGCAUUCACCCUCCAGUGAAACUUUCUACAUUCCACAUUUUCUAUCAAGAAAAGAAAGAGGUUGUAUUGUGAGGUAAGAGGCACACACACGGACUUCCUUCAGUAGCUGCAAUCCUUGCUAUAGGUCAGGCAUCAAGACAAUUCCACUUUACAGGCCUGGAUUUUGGAGAAAGAAAGGUUCUAGUAUGUUACGUUUAUGUUCCCCUGCUUUCUACAAUCCUGUUCAAAGAGUUGCUGACUUAACCACAGAGAGGAUUCCAGAACCUGAGACACAGAAUAAACUUGAGCAAUCAUAGUCCAUCCACUUCAUUGUCUCAUCAAAAACCAAAGGUCCAGUGAAGCUCUGGAACUCAACGCUGUAAAGGAGCGAAGGAGCUUCUAUACAGAGCCUGGAUGCCUGUCUCCUUAUCCUACUUCAGUGGACUUGACUGCAAUCCGGAUUAUGCUGUUUUCUAAGCAUUUAAAAUAAAAUAAAAAGUAUAAUAGUGUGAUAAGUUCUUUCACAAAGCAAGCAAUCACAUUUAUGUUUCUACUUACAUUUGGGUUUUCCAAAUAUGUGUGUGUGUGUGUGUGUGUGUGUGUGUGUGUGUAUGUAGACUUUAAACAUGGUGCAUCCAUCAUGUUGCACUAAAUCAAAACCACCAAAUAAUGAUGUAGAACUAAUAAAUCAAAACCAUCAAAUAAUGACAUAGAAAUCCAAUUCUCCCACCUUACACCCAUUAAGAUGGCUACU
rnacentral:lncRNA from 1 species